UACGGGAGGCAGCAGUGAGGAAUAUUGGUCAAUGGACGCAAGUCUGAACCAGCCAAGUAGCGUGAAGGACGACGGCCCUAUGGGUUGUAAACUUCUUUUGUACGGGAAUAAAGUGAGGCACGCGUUGCCUUUUUGCAUGUACCGUACGAAUAAGCAUCGGCUAAUUCCGUGCCAGCAGCCGCGGUAAU
rnacentral:rRNA from 1 species